UACGUAGGUCCCGAGCGUUGUCCGGAUUUAUUGGGCGUAAAGCGAGCGCAGGUGGUUUAUUAAGUCUGGUGUAAAAGGCAGUGGCUCAACCAUUGUAUGCAUUGGAAACUGGUAGACUUGAGUGCAGGAGAGGAGAGUGGAAUUCCAUGUGUAGCGGUGAAAUGCGUAGAUAUAUGGAGGAACACCGGUGGCGGAAGCGGCUCUCUGGCCUGUAACUGACACUGAGGCUCGAAAGCGUGGGGAGCAAACAGG
rnacentral:rRNA from 1 species